UACGUAGGGUGCGAGCGUUGUCCGGAAUUAUUGGGCGUAAAGGGCUCGUAGGCGGUCUGUUGCGUCAGGAGUGAAAACUCGGGGCUUAACCCCGAGCCUGCUUCUGAUACGGGCAGACUAGAGGUAUGCAGGGGAGAACGGAAUUCCUGGUGUAGCGGUGAAAUGCGUUGAGAUCGGAAGGAACGCCCGCGGCGAAAGCGAGUCCCUGGACGUCGGCUGACGCUGAGACGCGAAAGCCAGGGGAGCGAACGGG
rnacentral:rRNA from 1 species